GCGCCUUUGACUUAACGGUAGAAUCGCUGUCUUCGGAACAGUUGGUAUUGGUUCGAUUCCAGUAAGGCGUU
rfam:Macrophomina phaseolina MS6 contig00923, whole genome shotgun sequence.